rnacentral:rRNA from 1 species
AUUGAACGCUAGCGGGAUGCUUUACACAUGCAAGUCGAACGAGUGGCGGACGGGUGAGUAAUAUAUCGGAAAGUGCCCAGUAGAGGGGGAUAACUACUCGAAAGAGUGGCUAAUACCGCAUACCAUCGGAGCGGCCGAUAUCGGAUUAGCUAGUUGGUGGGGUAAAGGCUCACCAAGGCAACGAUCCGUAGCUGGUUUGAGAGGACGACCAGCCACACUGGGACUGAGACACGGUCCAGACUCCUACGGGAGGCAGCAGUGGGGAAUGUUGGACAAUGGGGGAAACCCUGAUCCAGCCAUCCCGCGUGUAUGAGAAGGCCUUCGGGUUGUAAAGUACUUUUGGCAGAGAGGCGUUAUCUGCAGAAGAAGCACCGGCUAACUACGUGCCAGCAGCCGCGGUAAUUC